UACGUAGGGGGCAAGCGUUGGUCCGGAAUCAUUGGGCGUAAAGAGCGUGUAGGCGGUUCGGUAAGUCGGCUGUGAAAGUCCAGGGCUCAACCCUGGGAUGCCGGUCGAUACUGCCGGACUAGAGUUCGGAAGAGGCGAGUGGAAUUCCCGGUGUAGCGGUGAAAUGCGCAGAUAUCGUGAGGAAGACCAGUGGCGAAGGCGGGUCUCUGGACAGUUCCUGACACUGAGACACGAAGGCCAGGGGAGCAAACGGG
rnacentral:rRNA from 1 species